GCAGUAUGAUGACCGGAGACACAGCUGUUGGAGGAAAAAAGUUUAUGUCAAUUAAAAUCCUGAAUUUCUCUGAUCUGGAAAGAAAAACUGCUAUGAACUCUUUAGAUGCCAACACAAGUGCUGAAGAGGAUGUUACAUGAGAGAAAGAUGGAUUCAUAUGUGGAAAAGCCUUCUAAGGAUAAAGUCUACCAUAUACUGACUUACUUUUGGAGGUAACAAGGGUUGGUGAGAUCUCAGUAGUGUCCUUCUCACGAGGAGGUCAGUCUCUUAAACUUCAAGUGGAAAACAGAUGAGAUUAGGUGACUGUGCUGAAU
rnacentral:lncRNA from 1 species